UACGAAGGGGGCUAGCGUUGUUCGGAAUCACUGGGCGUAAAGCGCACGUAGGUGGACAUUUAAGUCGGAGGUGAAAUCCCAAGGCUCAACCUUGGAACUGCCUUCGAUACUGGGUGUCUUGAGUAUGGUAGAGGUUAGUGGAACUGCAAGUGUAGAGGUGAAAUUCGUAGAUAUUUGCAAGAACACCAGUGGCGAAGGCGGCUAACUGGACCAUUACUGACACUGAGGUGCGAAAGCGUGGGGAGCAAACAGG
rnacentral:rRNA from 1 species